rnacentral:rRNA from 1 species
UAGGGAAUCUUCGGCAAUGGACGAAAGUCUGACCGAGCAACGCCGCGUGAGUGAAGAAGGUUUUCGGAUCGUAAAACUCUGUUGUUAGAGAAGAACAAGGACGUUAGUAACUGAACGUCCCCUGACGGUAUCUAACCAGAAAGCCACGGCUAACUACGUGCCAGCAGCCGCGGUAAUACGUAGGUGGCAAGCGUUGUCCGGAUUUAUUGGGCGUAAAGCGAGCGCAGGCGGUUUCUUAAGUCUGAUGUGAAAGCCCCCGGCUCAACCGGGGAGGGUCAUUGGAAACUGGGAGACUUGAGUGCAGAAGAGGAGAGUGGAAUUCCAUGUGUAGCAGUGAAAUGCGUAGCUAUAUGGAGGAACACCAGUGGCGAAGGCGGCUCUCUGGUCUGUAUCUGACGCUGAGGCUCGAAAGCGUGGGGAGCAAACAGG